UCGUAUAGCGACACAGCAGCCGGGGUAAUACGAUGGGGGAGAGCUUGGGUGGGAGUUACUGGGCGUAAAGGGAGUGUAGGACGGUUCGCAAGAUUGAGUGGAAAGCCCAGGGCUCAACCUUGGAAGUUCCUUCAAAAAUGAUAGCUUAGAGGAUGAUAGAGGUAAGUGGAACUCCGAGUGUAGAGGUGAAAUUCGUAGAUAUUCGGAAGAACACCCGUGGCGAAGGGGACGUACUGGAUCAUUACUGACGCGGAGGCUCGAAAGCGUGGGGAGCAAACAGGAUUAGAUACCCUGGUAGUC
rnacentral:rRNA from 1 species